UACGUAGGUGGCGAGCGUUAUCCGGAUUUACUGGGCGUAAAGUGAGCGCAGACGGUUCUUCAAGUCAGAUGUUAAAUCUCUCAGCCUAACUGGGUGGUCGCAUUUGAUACUGUUGAACUAGAGGACAAUAGGGGGAGGUAGAAUUCCCGGUGUAGUGGUGGAAUGCGUAGAUAUCGGGAGGAAUACCAGUGGCGAAGGCGGCCUCCUGGGUUGUUUCUGACGUUCAUGCUCGAAGGUGUGGGGAGCAAACAGGAUUAGAUACCCUGGUAGUCCACACUGUAAACGAUGAACACUAGGUAUAGGGAGUAUCGACCCUCUCUGUGCCAAAGCUAACGCGUUAAGUGUUCCGUCUGGGGAGUACGGCCGCAAGGCUA
rnacentral:rRNA from 1 species